UGACAAGAAAAAACACAGCAAAAUGGGAAACUGUUUGGGCUGCAAGAAGCAACGUUUAAGAGAGCCUCAGCCUCAGCCUGCACAGCCUCGGCCUCAACCUCAGCCUGCACAGCCUCGGCCUCGGCC